AAAAACUCAGCCUGUUUCUAAUCCAUAGGAGCAGACGGUGAUUUUUCAGGUGAGCGAUAUGGCCCUAUGGCCUCAAGUUUAAAGCCAGUGAAUGUUUUUUAUUCCAUGUCUCUGAAUCUCCAUCUUUUAUACUGUAUUUUCUUUUCUUUUCUUAUCUCUUUUUUACUGUGGACAUUUCAUUUCUACUUUUAAGGAGGUUUUCAAUCUGUUUUACUUGAAUCUGUUGUGUUUGAUUUAGUAUUACUUACAUAUACAUAUUAUUACCGUACAUUUCAAACUGUUUUUGUUUAUUGGUGAUCAGUAAAUUACUUGUGCAUUAUUACUUGAAUUGUAUUUUGUUACUAUAAAUACAAAGAGUUUAUGUGAUCGCUUCCUUUUUGAGGCAUUGUUGAAUUUCAAUAAUUAAUUAUGUAUGUUGUAUAACUCUGUGUUGUAUAGUAUCAGAAUCAUCAAAUACAGUGUAUAUACAUAAUGAAACAUGGAGUAACCAUAGUCGAAUGACAUUUCCAUUUAAUUAACAAAAUAUGAGCAGAUUUUGCAGAUUUCCCAACAUUAAAGAUUUUACGAGUAAUUUUUUAACUGUCGUUGUAGUGCAGCUUCGAAUAUCUGAUUCCGCCAUGAUUGUCUCAAUGCCAAAUGCUUGCUUGUAAAAAAAAUAAAAGAUUCCAAUUAU
rnacentral:misc_RNA from 1 species